UUUAGUGGCGGACGGGUGAGUAACACGUGAGCAACCUGCCUUCGAGAGGGGAAUAACGGCUGGAAACGGUCGCUAAUACCGCAUAACAUACCGGGAGGACAUCCUGCUGGUAUCAAAGAUUUUAUCGCUCGAAGAUGGGCUCGCGUCCGAUUAGGUAGUUGGUGAGGUAACGGCUCACCAAGCCGACGAUCGGUAGCCGGACUGAGAGGUUGAACGGCCACAUUGGGACUGAGACACGGCCCAGACUCCUACGGGAGGCAGCAG
rnacentral:rRNA from 1 species